UACGUAGGGGGCAAGCGUUGUCCGGAAUCAUUGGGCGUAAAGAGCGUGUAGGCGGCCAGAUAAGUCCGCUGUGAAAUCUCGAGGCUCAACUUCGAGCUGUCGGUGGAAACUGUCUGGCUAGAGUCCGGAAGAGGAGAAUGGAAUUCCUGGUGUAGCGGUGACAUGCGCAGAUAUCAGGAAGAACACCCGUGGCGAAGGCGGUUCUCUGGGACGGUACUGACGCUGAGACGCGAAAGCGUGGGGAGCGAACAGG
rnacentral:rRNA from 1 species